rnacentral:rRNA from 1 species
UACGUAGGGGGCAAGCGUUGUCCGGGUUUAUUGGGCGUAAAGCGCGUGUAGGCGGCCACACAGGUCCGUUGUGAAAACUCGAGGCUUAACCUCGAGACGUCGAUGGAAACCGUAUGGCUAGAGUCCGGAAGAGGAGAGUGGAAUUCCUGGUGUAGCGGUGAAAUGCGCAGAUAUCAGGAAGAACACCCGUGGCGAAGGCGGCUCUCUGGGACGGUACUGACGCUGAGACGCGAAAGCGUGGGGAGCGAACAGG